AUCCCUGAAUACAUGUUAUUCAUUUAUUGUGGACAUAGUCAUGAUGGAAUCUUUCAACCUGACCAGACAUCAAAUCAAUGGAACAAUAAUACUGAUGCUGUUGCGUGCUUAAAUCCCCCAUCUCAGGAUAGUUUUGCUUAUGGGAUAUAUCAAAAUGUUGAAACUCUUGUUACAGAAACUAAUGUGAUCAACAAAUACAUCUAUUCUUUGUUUUGGGGAUUCCAGCAAAUUUGUACUUUGGCUGGUAAUCUGGUCCCUAGCACUUUUGUGUGGGAAGUCCUUUUCAGUAUGGCCAUUAUAGGAUUUGAACUCUUACUUUUUGCUAUUCUUAUUGGUCACAUACAGAAUUUUCUUCAAGCUCUUGGGCGGAGGAGGCUAGAAAUGCAAACUCAGUGGCUGUGACGUGGAGCAAUGGAUGAGCUAUCGACGCUUACCAGAAAAUAUAAGGAGUGUUGUAACCGGACCGAUUUUCACGGUCAGAGGUCACCCAAUGGCUUCAAAUCGGUUCCAGGACCAGACAACGUGCAUAAUCGGUGCGAACUGGUUUGAGCUGGGAGGUUUUCACCAAAACCGGGGAACUGACAGACUGAGACAGUGAAGAAAAAGUAAAACCCUAAUUUCUAAUUUGGACGGCACCCCCUUCUCUUCCCCAACCUCAUGCGCUCACACUUUCGGUCAGUCACAGAGCUCUCAACCUCUCACUCUGACCGGUCUAUGCUCGCCUCUCUCUCUCGCCGGUGCUCGCCUCUCACUCUCGACGGUCUGUACUCGCCUCUAGCCGGCUCAUCUGCUCGUCUCCGUGUGUGCUGCUCUGCUCACCUCCGUCUGUCGCCUUCAUUGCCCCGCCUCGUGACUCGUCUGUCCCUGCAGUGUGCUUUGACGUGCCUCCACCUUCUUUGCUGUGACUUGGGUUCUGCUUCUGCAGUGUAGAGUAAGGCUUCCAGGACAAAGGCUGCUUAGCAACAGAACAGUGAGGUGCUUAACAAAUGUCGAGUCAUUUUAGCCAUGGCCUCCGGCCUUGAAGAAGUCACAGUCCUUUUCACAAGAUUCUUGCGGAGUCCGCGUGUUCAAGGAGCCUUAAGGUAUGAAUCACCUCAUUGGAGAUCCUUAGCUGCAAUUCGUAUUCAAGUUGCAUGGAGAUACAGGAAGAAACGUCUAAGUCGUGCUGAUUCUGCUGUUUAAAAUUUAAAAUUAAAAUAGAGUGCGAGUAUCAUUACCACAUACAAACGUGUAAUUGUGUAAAUAAUAAAGGGACAAAAUUGUAGUCUGAAAAUUUUCAAUAUGGAAGACAACUGUUGUAACUUGUAAAUGAAUAGCUGACGUGGACGUUAUGCAUUUUCGCAAAACGCAGGUUGCGUUUUGCAGGUACGGUCGCUUUUUGGGUUUCUCGCAGGUUGCGUUUUGGAGGUGCGGUGGCUUUUAGGGUUUUGAUAGAAAUUUUAUAUUAUAUAAUGCACUAGCUGGGAGGAGAAGUACUUCAUAGAUCUAGAUCUGUAAUUGAGAGAGAUAGACAGAAAGAACGAAAGAAGCAGCGGCGAAGACGAUGAGGAAUUUCUUCGGUGACCACUGAGUAUAUAUCAUCACGGUUGGUUCGAACACCACUGUCUUCUUUAUUUAUUUACUUAUUUAUUUUGUUGUUUUUGUUUUGGGUCUGUUUUUUUUUAUCGGUCUUUAUUUAUUUAAUUUUUUGGUCAGACUUAUUUUGUUCGAAUCUUCUAUGUUCUUUAUUUUUGAGUUGAGUUAUCCAUAAAAGCAUUAAAAAAAAACAGUGGGUGCUCCGAAGGAAAAAUGGAAAGUAGGGUUAGAUUACAAAGUGUACUAUAAUUGUGAGAUUGUCAAUCUGAGAUUUGAUUG